rnacentral:rRNA from 1 species
UUGGGAGCUCUCCCAUAUGGUCGACCUGCAGGCGGCCGCGAAUUCACUAGUGAUUCGUAUUACCGCGGCUGCUGGCACGGAGUUAGCCGGAGCUUAUUCUCCCGGUACUGUCAUUAUCAUCCCGGGUAAAAGAGCUUUACAACCCUAAGGCCUUCAUCACUCACGCGGCAUUGCUGGAUCAGGCUUUCGCCCAUUGUCCAAUAUUCCCCACUGCUGCCUCCCGUAGGAGUCUGGGCCGUGUCUCAGUCCCAGUGUGGCUGAUCAUCCUCUCAGACCAGCUAAGGAUCGUCGCCUUGGUGCGCCUUUACCACACCAACUAGCUAAUCCUACGCUGGCUCAUCCCUCGGCGAUAAAUCUUUGGACUUAUCGACAUCAUCCGGUAUUAGCAGUCAUUUCUAACUGUUAUUCCGAACCUAAGGGCAGAUUCCCACGCGUUACGCACCCGUGCGCCACUAUGCCCGAAAGCAUCGUUCGACUUGCAUGUGUUAGGCAUGCCGCCAGCGUUCGUUCUGAGCCAUGAUCAAACUCUAAUCGAAUUCCCGCGGCCGCCAUGGCGGCCGGGAGCAUG